AGUGGCAAAAGUGCCACAAGCACAGAGCCCAGAUCACGCAAGCCGAGAUCUGAGAUCUCCUUUCUCCUCUAGGAACUAGAAGGAUCCAGAAGGAAUUGUGCCUCUCAUGAAGGUGCCUCCUGUUGCUGCAGCAUUUCACAGACUGUGCUGAGCUGGAAGGGACCCAUCAGGAUGGAGUACCAUGUUUAAGGCUUCCUCCUGGUCUCCACUAGACGAGACAAGAACGAGCCCCUCUCACCUGUCUUGGGCAUCUGUCCCUGCCACCCUCACACCUGGGCACAGGCUGCAGGGCUGGAGCAGGAGCAGCUUAGAGGCCAAAGGAAACCUCCUCCUUCUCCACCUCCUUGCCUCCUUCCUCCAGCAGGGAGCUCAGACCCCGUCUUCAAUCCAGUCUCCAGUGGAAUAAGAAUCUGAGGAAUGCAGAGAGGAGUGGUUACACAGGCAUGCCCCGGGCAGGAGCAGACUCCAAAUCCCCUUUUUAUGGACUUUUCCACUGGAGUGAAAGCUGGAAUUCAGCUCAUAUGAAAUCAAGUCCCCCUGUCCUGCUUUUCCAGCCCCUCCAGCCUCUGCUCCCAGUGCCACAGCGUAGCCAGGCAAGCACAUGAAAGGCUCGUUGGCAACAGCUUUUCAAGAUUCAAAGGCCUAAAAUGGAAUCCUGCUUUUAUUUGCUUAUUUUUCUGGAUUAAGAAUGAAAUGAAGGUUCUAGCAGCCUCCCCAUGGGACCCUGACCCCCGGGAGGCAGCCAAGGACAGCCAGCAAGGCUGGAGCCCCGUGGGGCAGAGCUGGAGCUGCCUGCCAGGGCAGUGUCCUGCAAGGGGGUGUACAGCUAAUCCAGGAUUUUAUUUUCCUGGUACAACACAAGUCUGGAAGCCUGUGGACGUGGCUGCUGCCUCAGUGGUGCUGCUGCUCGAGGAAUCUGACUGCAGAUAGGCUUUGAAUACUUUGCUUUAGGCAGAAAAUGGUUUUUUUAUUCCCCAUUAUAAACCCCUAUGGAAUGAGAUUGGCUUUCCUCAGAGGUCUGGGAAAAAGGGUCUUGGGAUGCUGUUUGGAGGUGGGGAAGUUGUCCUGCUACAUCAACAAUCAAAUGGGGUUCCCCCA